CAGCACCUUGGUGCUGGGGCCUUGUAUGGAGCCAGUCACAAGGUUUAUGAUACCUACAAAUGACCUGCCAUAGCCAGGAGGAAAUGAGGGAGCUCCCCUCUCCUGUCCUUGAGGAAGACAGCUGUAGCAGUUCUCUAGAAAGGGCCUUUGUGGCGUCCUCACUAAGUCCUCCCUAAAGGACAAAUGGAGGAAGGUGGUUUUGGGCCUCAUACUCCAUUUCUAUUUAAAUGAGCAAAGGUGGGGCUGCUCUUCCAGAGGACCUGGGUUUGAUUCCCAGCACCCACAUGGUGGCUCACAACCAUCUGCAACUCCAUUUCAAGGAGGGUCCAAUACCCCUCUGGCCUCCUUGGGUACCAGGCACACAUGUGGUGCACAUACACACGGGCAAAGCAUCCAUGCAUGUGAAAGAGAUGUGGAUUUAGGGCCACCGUGGGAACACAGCUGUGAGUGUGUCUGCGCCAGGCGUUUCCAGAAAGGAUCCACUGAGGAGGGAAGACCCAGCCCGAACUUGAAAGCCUGGGGGCUUCCCGAAGGGAAGACAAGGCCAGGGUAUCUGAUAUGAAACUCCCCCAAAGGAGUCAAGACCCACAGGCUGAGAACCAUUGGAAUGGAACUCAUAGAAAGAGAAAGAUCUAGGCUCACUUUCCUAUGCUUGGAACACCUGGGCUCAUGCCUCUUUCUAUCCUGAUACACAUCAGUGCCAUGGACCAGACUAGAAAGGCAACUUCUAUUCUCCAUUCCUCAACUCUACCUCAGGCAGAGGCCGGCUGCCUGGGAAAGGAUGUGACCAUAAGAGAGACAGCUAUCUUCAGUGGGGACCUGGUG
rnacentral:lncRNA from 1 species